UACGGAGGGUGCAAGCGUUAUCCGGAUUCACUGGGUUUAAAGGGUGCGUAGGUGGGCAGGUAAGUCAGUGGUGAAAUCUCCGGGCUUAACCCGGAAACUGCCGUUGAUACUAUUUGUCUUGAAUAUAGUGGAGGUGAGCGGAAUAUGUCAUGUAGCGGUGAAAUGCUUAGAUAUGACAUAGAACAUCGAUUGCGAAGGCAGCUCGCUACACUAUUAUUGACACUGAGGCACGAAAGCGUGGGGAGCAAACAGG
rnacentral:rRNA from 1 species